GAUGAACGCUGGCGGCGUGCCUAAUACAUGCAAGUCGAACGAAGAUCUAGCUUGCUAGAUCUUAGUGGCGAACGGGUGAGUAAUACAUAAAUAAUCUGCCCAUAUGACUGGGAUAACUAUUGGAAACGAUAGCUAAUACCGGAUAGGUUAAUCGGAGGCAUCUCUGAUGAAUUAAAGUAGGAUUUCUACACAAAUGGAUGAGUUUAUGGCGCAUUAGUUAGUUGGUGGGGUAACGGCCUACCAAGACGAUGAUGCGUAGCCGACCUGAGAGGGUGACCGGCCAAACUGGGACUGAGACACGGCCCAGAAUCCUACGGGAGGCAGCAGUAGGGAAUUUUCGGUAAUGGGCGCAAGCCUGACCGAGCAACGCCGCGUGAGUGAUUAAGGCCUUCGGGUUGUAAAGCUCUGUUGUAAGGGAAGAACAUUCAGGAUAGGAAAUGAUCUUGAACUGACGGUACCUUACCAGAAAGCCACGGCUAACUACGUGCCAGCCGCCGCCGUAAAAC
rnacentral:rRNA from 1 species